ensembl:lincRNA
GGUACACUGAAGCAGGUGGAGCUCUGUAACAUCAAUUUGUCCUUCACCUUCAACUGAACAUAAUAGUUGGUGUCACCAUGUGUGCCUCUAAGAAGAUCUCUGUGGAGGGCUCUGUGUUGCUUGAUCUGGAUAAAAGCUCUGUCAUAGCUCCAUGGCUAUACACCUGGGCACAGAGCUAGAAGAAGUUGCAAAAGUACUACUGCAUCUCAGCAACUUGGGAUGAGAAGUGCAAGGCACACCACCCAUUGUGGGCAUGGUGAUGAUUCACAGUGGCUCAGGGCUUUCUUGUCCAGGUGAUGCAUACCUACCAAGUUCAGCUCCCAUCACCCUGUCUUCUGCCUGCAUUGUUGAACUUUGCAAGUCCCUUGUGACCACAGUAGAAUGGCUCUGGCUGCCACUGUCAAGAUUGGAUGCUUGCACAAUAGGUUGUGCUUCCCCAGCUACUCUUAUUCUCUUUCAGGGACACGAGGCCAAGUCUCUUGCAUAUGGUGUGACAUCAGACUCUGCUUCUGCCUGCCUUGCCCAGUUUUUUGAGAUGUUCGGGACGUUAUUGCUAGCUCCCACUCUCCUAGCAGCAGUCGGGAUUGGAAAUUCAAGUCCUCACGUCAAAGUGUGA